rnacentral:tRNA from 1 species
UACGUUUUAGUAUAUGAUGUAUGAAAGUUUUUGAUACUUUCGGUGUUGGUUUGAGUCCAUCAAAUGUAA